rnacentral:rRNA from 1 species
UACGUAGGGGCCGAGCGUUGUCCGGAGUUAUUGGGCGUAAAGCGCGCGCAGGCGGCCUCGCGCGCCCGACGUGAAAGCCCCCGGCUUAACCGGGGAGGGUCGUUGGGGACGGCGGGGCUUGAGGGCGGGAGAGGUCGGUGGAAUUCCCGGUGUAGUGGUGAAAUGCGUAGAGAUCGGGAGGAACACCGAUGGCGAAGGCAGGUCUCUGGGCCACUACUGACGCUGAGAAGCGAAAGCGUGGGGAGCGAACAGG